GAAGGCAGAGUGCAAAAAGGGGAAAUACAUGGUGAGGGGCCCAGGCAGGUCUGAUGUGGUGUAGCCCAACAUGCAGGGGAGCUGUGGCCUAAUGAAAGCCGAGAGCUGUUUCUACUCAGCUUCCUUGAAGUGCUUCCUUUGCGGUCCUUGGUCCAAAAGGAGAUGGCCUUGACUCCCACCUACCUCUGCUUUGAAAACGUAAACCUAAGGGGUUCCUGCAUGGCCCAGAUUUUUGGUUUUCUUUCUUUUGAUGCCAAGCAUGAUAAAAUAAAUGGUAAACGAACUCUGGUUUCUUUAUGAGGCUCGCCUAUUCAGGUUGGGACAAGCAGUGUAUGGAAUACUCCACCCGCCCCUCCGAAGCACCAUCUCCACCCUUAGCAGAGGCCUCGGGACUGCUUCAGAGCACUGUUCAUGUUCAAGUUAUUGAAAUUCCAUGUGACCCUGACUUUGGACCCCUUUGGCCUAUGAAACCUCCAUUACUUUUAAGCCACUCUUACACUUGAGGUAAGUUUGUAAUUUGGGGAGUGUUUAUGGCAUUUAAUUAGGUCUGUACCGUACCAGGAAGAUAUUCAAGGUUCUUUGAGGCCACUAAGUCAAAGAUGUUUAUAGAAGGUUAGAGUUUGAAAGAUUCUUAGAAAUUCCUGAAUUUAGUAGCUUGGCUUUUAACUUAUUUGGGAUGAGUGCAGAACAGGUUUUAUUAAAUAAAUUCCUGUGCAGGACACCAAUUAAAGCAAUUGAUAAAAGUGCAGUUAUGCUCAUUGCAGUGGAGGGAGGGAAGAGAAUCCCUGAGAUACCUCUGAGAUCUGAAACACCUUUGAAGACCACAUUUGUCUAAUUUACUUUUCGCCUAUUAGGAGAGGAUGACAAGACAGUUCUAUCUUAUGGUAUGGUAUCCUGGGUACAGUAUCAGCUUCACCCCAGAGCUUGUUAGAAAUUCAAAUUCUUGGACUCACCCCAGACCUACUGGAGGCGGAAUCCAGGAGUCUCUGCUUUAACAAUUACUCCAGAUGAUUCCGAUGCACGCUCACCCAAGUUUGAGAACCAGUCCCCCAAGGGCUUUUCAGUGAAUAUUUCAAGCUCAUUUAAUACAAUGCAGCUUCAAUAGAUGGCAAGGAUAGCCCUUUACACAUCCCAAGGAGUUUCUGCGGUACACACCCUGUCUUGGGAGUGGUUCUUUUCCAUUCAAUACACUUUAGUAGCAUUGCAGGGAACUCUGUCUAUCGUACAUUGGAAACAAUUCAAACGGUGGUUCUUCUAGACAAAUGGCUCCGAGUCAAGAGAUUUUGAUCCCCACAAUAGAUUGUUUUAAUGGAUUUGGCCAGUAGCCAAACUGUUGCAAUGGAAUUACACCCCCAAAAUAUGCUAUUCUUAAGAAAUUAUUUGUCCUUAGAAAAAUAAUGAACUUAAAGAGUGAUUUUCAGUUUUCAAACAUGUUUUGCAUGUAGUAUCUUCUCGUGUGAUAAUGCUGCCAUCCUAAUCCUGACACCCCUACAUAACUUUCCCUUCCUAUAUUUAGGAGUACAAAAUCAAGAACGGAAGGGUUAGGUAAAUUUUCCUAGAUCACAUACAGAGAUAGUUGCAGAAUGAAUAUUGAAAUCCAGUUCUCCUUGGUACGUAGUUCACUGUUUUUUUUUUUUUCUGAUGAAUAUAUUAGGCCAUUUCCUGAGACGUGAAUUUACAACCAGAUCAGUUACCUCUAUGGAACUUUAUUUUUUCUCUCUUUUCUUUUGUUGAUAAUUGGGCGUAAUAAACUUCAUAAACCCUAAAAUUGUUGAAUUCCCAGUUUGAUGAUUAGUUAGGGAGCGUCCUGCCCUAUCCCAGUAACAGGUGAGGUGUGAGGUGUUAUAACUAAGGCAACUAUUCCCUUCUGAUCCUAUUGGUGGGCAUCUGUUUCUAGUUGUAACUGGCCAAACAUUCCCUUUGCAGGAAAACUAAUAACAUCUUAACAUAUGGUCUUGAAUGUGAGCCGCCAAAUGACCUUGCAUGGAGAUUAAUUGAAGGUGUUAAUGGCAUAGUUCCCAGCCAGGAAUGUCAAAAUACUGGCUUGGUCUUCUAUGUACAUGUUUUAAGAGGAUUUGCUAUUGAUACUGAACUGGAUUAACUUUAAAUAUAAAGAAAAAUACUAUAACUUCAGCAACCACCUGGGAAGCAAGUUUCUGUAGCAAAGAAAUCUGGAUUAGUGCUCCAAGCAGGGUGCAGGAUAAUGAAUUUGACAUCCCUUAGGACUCCCUUGAAAAAAUUCCCAUGAUACAAUCUUCUUAAGUGGGGGUAAUAUAGGGAGCAAAAUUCUGUUGAGGAUAAAAAAUCUAUUGUAUGACCUUCUCUAAGACUCUGCUGGAAAAUGCCAUUAGAGAUUAGAGUUGACUUAUGGGUGUUCUCUCCUACUGCCCCCUUCCCUCCCACCUCACCCAGACAGGAGGAAUAGGCCAAAGACCAGUGAAAAGAACUGUACAUGGAAUUGCAUUUCCUCACAUAUUUACUUAGAAAUACGUUCAACUUUUAGGACGCUUAUUCAAGGUUGGUUGUCAUAAUUAUCUCAUGACUUAAUCCUGGUAUAAUCUCCCAUUCUCUCUAUGGGUUCCUUUUUUUAAAAUUUCUAUUUUACUACCCUAGUGCUUGAGUUCUUCUGCAUGUGUGUAUGUUUAUUAUAAUUCACCUUAAGGCUGCUUGUGGGAUAUAGAUUAUAAAGACAUAAAAGUAAACAUGGAAUAAUCUCCUUUCACGCAUAUAUUUGCAAACCCAUAAACUCUAAGGAAGAGUGAAUUAGAUUUUUAAAACAUUGAAAAUUAUGUUUACUAAGCCUUUUUUUUGCCCAGUUUAUACAGCUAUUUUGGCCAAAGGGGUCAUAUAAAUAUGUCAACUGCUGCUGGCACAACUGACUAGAAAGUAAAAACUAUUAACUCAAAUACAGCACCACCAAUCCAAUAAUGACUUAGAGAAGAGAUCCUUGAAAUUACAAUUUCGUAUCAUUUUUAGGAACUACUCAGUGUCUAGUUCUUUGAGUAUUGCUCUUUGCUCUUGCAACAUCGCCUACAUACACAUCUCAAUCUUCUAUAUUAUUAUAUAGUAUUUGUGUAUAUUUUCAUUUGUUCUGAAAAACUGUGAGCCCCCUGAGGGUAGACCUGUGUUUCAUUUAUCUUUUUAAUACCUAAUGUUUUCUGC
ensembl:lncRNA